rnacentral:rRNA from 1 species
UCCCCUAGUAACUGCGAGUGAAGCGGGAAAAGCUCAAAUUUAAAAUCUGACAGUCUCAUUGUCCGAGUUGUAAUCUGGAGAAGCAUUUUCCGUGUCGGACCGUGUACAAGUCUCUUGGAACAGAGCGUCAUAGAGGGUGAGAAUCCCGUCCAUGACACGGACUACCGAUGCUUUGUGAUAUGCUCUCGAAGAGUCGAGUUGUUUGGGAAUGCAGCUCAAAAUGGGUGGUAAAUUCCAUCUAAAGCUAAAUAUUGGCGAGAGACCGAUAGCGAACAAGUACCGUGAGGGAAAGAUGAAAAGCACUUUGGAAAGAGAGUUAAACAGUACGUGAAAUUGUUGAAAGGGAAACGCUUGAAGUCAGUCGCGUUGUCUGAGACUCAGCCUUGCUUGCAUGGUGUAUUUCUCAGUUAACGGGUCAACAUCAAUUUUGGUUGGUGGAUAAAGGUAGAGGAAAUGUGGCACCUUCGGGUGUGUUAUAGUCCUUUGCUGCAUACACUGACUGGGAUUGAGGAACGCAGCACGCCACUAUGGCCGGAGGUUCGCCUCACGUAACGUGCUUAGGAUGUUGGCAUAAUGGCUUUAAGCGACCCGUCUUGAAACACGGACCAAGGAGUCUAACAUGCUUGCGAGUGUUAGGGUGGAAAACCCUUGCGCGUAAUUAACGUGAAAGUUGGGACCCUUCGCGGGGGCACCGACGCCCGGCCCUGAAGUUUACUGACGGCGCUGCGGUAGAGCACGUAUGUUGGGACCCGAAAGAUGGUGAACUAUGCCUGAAUAGGGUGAAGCCAGGGGAAACUCUGGUGGAGGCUCGUAGCGAUUCUGACGUGCAAAUCGAUCGUCAAAUUUGGG